AGUGAACGCUGGCGGUAGGCCUAACACAUGCAAGUCGAACGGAAGCACAGUAAGAGCUUGCUCUUACGGGUGGCGAGUGGCGGACGGGAGAGGAAUACAUCGGAAUCUACUUUUUCGUGGGGGAUAACGUAGGGAAACUUACGCUAAUACCGCAUACGACCUACGGGUGAAAGCAGGGGAUCUUCGGACCUUGCGGGAUUGAAUGAGCCGAUGUCGGAUUAGCUAGUUGGCGGGGUAAAGGCCCACCAAGGCGACGAUCCGUAGCUGGUCUGAGAGGAUGGUCAGCCACACUGGAACUGAGACACGGUCCAGACUCCUACGGGAGGCAGCAGUGGGGAAUAUUGGACAAUGGGCGCAAGCCUGAUCCAGCCAUACCGCGUGGGUGAAGAAGGCCUUCGGGUUGUAAAGCCCUUUUGUUGGGAAAGAAAAGCAGCAGGUUAAUACCCCGCUGUUCUGACGGUACCCAAAGAAUAAGCACCGGCUAACUUCGUG
rnacentral:rRNA from 1 species